GUGGGUAGUUUGACUGGGGCGGUCUCCUCCUAAAGAGUAACGGAGGAGCACGAAGGUUGGCUAAUCCUGGUCGGACAUCAGGAGGUUAGUGCAAUGGCAUAAGCCAGCUUGACUGCGAGCGUGACGGCGCGAGCAGGUGCGAAAGCAGGUCAUAGUGAUCCGGUGGUUCUGAAUGGAAGGGCCAUCGCUCAACGGAUAAAAGGUACUCCGGGGAUAACAGGCUGAUACCGCCCAAGAGUUCAUAUCGACGGCGGUGUUUGGCACCUCGAUGUCGGCUCAUCACAUCCUGGGGCUGAAGUAGGUCCCAAGGGUAUGGCUGUUCGCCAUUUAAAGUGGUACGCGAGCUGGGUUUAGAACGUCGUGAGACAGUUCGGUCCCUAUCUGCCGUGGGCGCUGGAGAACUGAGGGGGGCUGCUCCUAGUACGAGAGGACCGGAGUGGACGCAUCACUGGUGUUCGGGUUGUCAUGCCAAUGGCACUGCCCGGUAGCUAAAUGCGGAAGAGAUAAGUGCUGAAAGCAUCUAAGCACGAAACUUGCCCCGAGAUGAGUUCUCCCUGAGACUUUAGGUCUCCUGAAGGAACGUUGAAGACGACGACGUUGAUAGGCCGGGUGUGUAAGCGCAGCGAUGCGUUGAGCUAACCGGUACUAAUGAACCGUGAGGCUUAACCUUACAA
rnacentral:rRNA from 2 species